CCCAGACUCCUACGGGAGGCAGCAGUGGGGAAUAUUGGACAAUGGGGGGAACCCUGAUCCAGCCAUGCCGCGUGUGUGAAGAAGGCCUUUUGGUUGUAAAGCACUUUAAGCGAGGAGGAGGCUACCGAGAUUAAUACUCUUGGAUAGUGGACGUUACUCGCAGAAUAAGCACCGGCUAACUCUGUGCCAGCAGCCGCGGUAAUACAGAGGGUGCAAGCGUUAAUCGGAUUUACUGGGCGUAAAGCGCGCGUAGGUGGCCAAUUAAGUCAAAUGUGAAAUCCCCGAGCUUAACUUGGGAAUUGCAUUCGAUACUGGUUGGCUAGAGUAUGGGAGAGGAUGGUAGAAUUCCAGGUGUAGCGGUGAAAUGCGUAGAGAUCUGGAGGAAUACCGAUGGCGAAGGCAGCCAUCUGGCCUAAUACUGACACUGAGGUGCGAAAGCAUGGGGAGCAAACAGGAUUAGAUACCCUGGUAGUCCAUGCCGUAAACGAUGUCUACUAGCCGUUGGGGCCUUUGAGGCUUUAGUGGCGCAGCUAACGCGAUAAGUAGACCGCCUGGGGAGUACGGUCGCAAGACUAAAACUCAAAUGAAUUGACGGGGGCCCGCACAAGCGGUGGAGCAUGUGGUUUAAUUCGAUGCAACGCGAAGAACCUUACCUGGUCUUGACAUAGUAAGAACUUUCCAGAGAUGGAUUGGUGCCUUCGGGAACUUACAUACAGGUGCUGCAUGGCUGUCGUCAGCUCGUGUCGUGAGAUGUUGGGUUAAGUCCCGCAACGAGCGCAACCCUUUUCCUUAUUUGCCAGCGGGUUAAGCCGGGAACUUUAAGGAUACUGCCAGUGACAAACUGGA
rnacentral:rRNA from 1 species